UGAGGUCCAUGGCUGGUUGCAGGUUC
rnacentral:piRNA from 1 species